GUGUCAGCAGCCGCGGUAAUACGUAGGGUGCGAGCGUUAAUCGGAAUUACUGGGCGUAAAGCGUGCGCAGGCGGUUAUAUAAGACAGUUGUGAAAUCCCCGGGCUCAACCUGGGAAUUGCAUCUGUGACUGUAUAGCUAGAGUACGGUAGAGGGGGAUGGAAUUCCGCGUGUAGCAGUGAAAUGCGUAGAUAUGCGGAGGAACACCGAUGGCGAAGGCAAUCCCCUGGACCUGUACUGACGCUCAUGCACGAAAGCGUGGGGAGCAAACAGGAUUAGAAACCCUGGUAGUCC
rnacentral:rRNA from 1 species